CUUCACUGAGCGCUCUUCAACGGAUCUCAAUUCAGUUUGCAAGCGCUGCUCAACGUCAAUGGUUUAGAACUCGAAAAGGAACCUGUUGAAAUAAAAUUAACCGCGUUGUAAAAUUUCGCUACUCCUAAAAUACUCAUCGGCAG